rnacentral:rRNA from 1 species
AUUGAACGCUGGCGGCAGGCCUAACACAUGCAAGUCGCACGCGGGGCGGCCGGGUGCGUAAUGACUGGGAAACUGCCAGAUGGAGGGGGAUAACUACUGGAAACGGUAGCUAAUACCGCAUACCAUCGGAUGUGCCCAGAUGGGAUUAGCUAGUAGGUGGGGUACAGGCUCACCUAGGCGACGGUCCCUAGCUGGUCUGAGAGGAUGACCGGCCACACGGUGAAUGAGACACGGUCCAGCCUCCGACGGGAGGCAGCAGGGGGGAAUAUUGGGCAAUGGGCGCAAGACUGAUGCAGCCAUGCCGCGUGUAUGAAGGAGGCCUUCGGGUUGUAAAGUACUUUCAGCGGGGAGGCGUUACCCGCAGAAGAAGCACCGGCUCACUCCGUGCCAGCAGCCGCGGUAAUUC